CCAAGGUGGUGAGGCUGAAGAACCAGAUGUGGGUGGUUUUGGGGUGGUUUUGGGGGUCACUCCCCCCAUAAGUAGGGGAUGGAUUCAGACCCAGGUGUGGGUGUUUUUGGGGUGUUUUUGGGGUGUUUUUGGGGUGUUUUUGGGGUGCAUUUCUGGUCCCUCCUGACCCUCUGUGCCCCCUCCCCAGCCCAAGGUGGUGUGGCUGAAGAACCAGGUGUGGGUGUUUUUGGGGUGUUUUUGGGGUGUUUUUGGGGUGGAUUUUUGGGGUCACUCCCCCCAUAAGUAGGGGAUGGAUUCAGACCCAGGUGUGGGUGUUUUUGGGGUGUUUUUGGGGUGCAUUUCUGGUCCCUCCUGCCCCUCGGUGCCCCCUGGCCAGCCCAAGGUGGUGUGGCUGAAGAACCAGGUGUGGGUGUUUUUGGGGUGUUUUUGGGGUGGUUUUGGGGUACAUCUCUGGUCCCUCCUGACCCUCUGUGCCCCCUGGCCAGCCCAAGGUGGUGUGGCUGAAGAACCAGGUUUUGGGGUCACCUUGGGGGGUGUUUUGGGGUGGAUUUUUGGGGCUCACUCCCCCCAUAAGUAGGGGAUGGAUUCACCCCGAGGUGUGGGUGUUUUUGGGGUGUU